rnacentral:tRNA from 1 species
UCGCCUGUAGCUCAAUGCAGAGCGGCCGGUUCUUACCCGGUCAGAUGUGGGUUCAAGUCCCACCAGGCGGACCA